rnacentral:lncRNA from 1 species
AGGAAGCCUAACCCACCUUUAUAUAAAGCGACACCCCUUGUUGCAUCUUCAUUUCCCGCAAAACAAACAAAAAACAUCGUGUCUCUCCUUAGCUUCUAUUUUACCUUAAUCUACUCAACUAUUAUUACUUGUACGAGGUUCACUCUUUUUGUUCCUCUCUUCCCACUUCUCUCUCUUCCAACCUCUCUCUCUCUUUUUCCCAAUUCUAAAAACCUAUUUUUUCCUUUGUUUUUUUUUGUCACAAACCUUUGACCUCGUUAAUUCGCAUCGCUGUUCGGGAUUUCUUCGCUUUCAUCUCAACCAUUGUCGUGUAAUUCUUAGAGUUCUUCGCAGUAGUGGUACUGGUGAUGAUCUUCCCCCGUCAAAUUUAAAUAGAGUUGUUAGGCGUAAGAGUGCUGCAGACAGUGGAAAUUCUUCUGUAGCUUCAUUCUGACUCUAGAUUGCAUAGUGAUAUGGAGGCCCAAAUUCAUCAGCUUGAGCAGGAAGCAUACUCUGCUGUUCUGCGUGCUUUUAAAGCUCAGUCUGAUGCUCUUUCUUGGGACAAGGAAGAAUUGAUAACUGAACUAAGGAAAGAAUUGAGGGUUUCAGAUGAUGAACACAGGGAGCUUCUUAGCAGGGUUAAUGCUGAUGAAAUUAUCCACCACAUAAGGGAGUGGAGACAAACUGGCUUUUACCAACCUGCAAGGCGCAGCACAUCUCAGCCUGUCCAUGACAUUUUACCGAGUCCAACUGUUUCAGCUCCUCGUAAAAAGCAGAAGACAUCUGAUUCGGGACAGUCAUUGCCGGGUCUGUCUUCAAUGCAAUAUACUUCUGCUGGACUUACUGUAGGUAGGCACUUCAUAAAUCAUAAUUCAAGUGCUUUUCCCUCCGGUGCACCUGCUGAAGCAUCGGCCUUUGAUCACUUGAUUGGGAAGAAAGUUUUGACUAGAUGGCCUGCAGACAACCGCUUUUACGAGGCUGUCAUAACUGAUUACAAUCCUUCUGAGGCAUGUUUAUGUCUUCAAUAGCUUUUCCCUCCGGUUCAUUUGUUGAAAUUUUGUUGGUCUGAUUAUUCUUCCACAGCUAGUGUGAAAUAGUGGGCGAGGCUAAUUUUUUUAUUUGCGAGAUAACAUUUUUUCCAUGGUUCUCUUUCCCAAUGUACAAGAGAAUGACAAGUGUGCAAACUUAUAUAGACUUAUUUCAUGUAGGAUUCAGUGUUUCUUCUCUCUUUUUAUAUGUAUAUAAAACUACCCCCACUGAUCCAGAUAAAAAUAAAGCUUACAUGUGAUUAGGACCUAAACCUUGAAGUGCAAAGCGUAAUUUAAAUUACUUUUUGGAAAACUUUUAUUCGAUCUUGAAUAAUUUUUCUUUGCAGGGACGACAUGCUUUGGUCUAUGACAUUAAUACAGCAGAUGAGACUUGGGAAUGGGUUGAUCUCAAAGAGAUCUCACCAGAGGAUAUACGAUGGGAAGGUGAAGAUCUAGGCAUGAUCCACAGGGGUGGGCAUGGUAUGCUAGGUCGUGGACCUAAGAAAGUUGUUAGCCGUGGCGGUGAUAUUCUAGGUUCUGGGAGACGGAGAGGUCAUCCGAGGUUUCAAGCCAGACGAGAUUUUCUCCCACCACAAAAUGGUAUCGGAAGGAGAGUUAUGGAUGAAAUUGAGUUGCUGAACACAGAUUCAUUAGUGAAAGAGGUAGAAAGGAUUUUCGCUGCAAGUCCUCCAGAUUCCGUAGAACUUGAGAAGGCAAAGCAAGUGCUGAAAGUACAGUCUUCACUAACCAUAUUGCAGUUCCUUAUUAAUUUUCAUGCUCCUUGAUUAUUGUCUACACUCUAAUUUUUGCUUGUACUGUAUAGGAGCAUGAGCAGGCGCUUGUUGACGCAAUCGCAAGGAUAGCAGAUGCAUCUGAUGGUGAAAGUGAUGGAGAGCAGCCGUUCUUGCA